rnacentral:lncRNA from 1 species
AGAAAACAUGGCUUGUUGGAAACUCAGAAGACUUGCCUGCUUAGCGGUGCUAAAAAACCACGCCUGAGCCCACUGUCGGUUUACAUCUGAGACUUACAGGGAAGACCUGGGUCUCACCUGAGGCCCCAUCUGUUCUUGAGGCAACACCUGGGUUCUUUUCAACACUCAAUAGACAGAUUAGUCCUGAGCUAACAUCUGCCGCCAGCCCGCUCUUUUUGCUGAGGAAGACUGGCCCUGAGCUAACAUCCAUGCCCAUCUUCCUCUACUUUAUAUGUAGGAUGCCUACCACAACAUGGCUUGCCAAGCGGUGCCAUGUCUGCACCUGGGAUCCGAACCGGUAAACCUCAUGCUGCCGAAGUGGAACGUGCAAACUUAACCAUUGCGCCACCAGGCUGGCCACCCCCUUACCUAUUUUUAUAUUGGCUUGCUUUUCUAUUUAUUGAUUUGUAAGUGUUCUUACCUCCUCUGGAUAUAAACUCUUUGUCAGCCCCGUGCCACUCUAUUGACCUCUUAUUUUAUUUUUUCUUAAUGCUCCUGAUAUGUAGUGUUUUUAUCAUUUUCUAUGUAGCCUGUGAUUUCAGCUUGGAUUUUCUCCUUGAACCAAGAAUUGUUUAAGAAAAAGGUUUUUUUUUUCCUGUUUUCCUGCUUUGUUAUUAAUUUCUCAUUUACUACAUUGGGAUCAAAGAUGUUGUUUAUACUACUUCUACUUUUGAGAAUUAACAUUUUCUCUGUGACCUAGUCCAUUUUAUGGCUCUUCAAUAAGCACUUGAAAAGAAAAUAUCUUAUGUAUAUAGAGGGAAUAAAAAUUAUAUAUAUUACACAUAUUAUAUAUAUAAUCAGUCUGCUCUACUUUAUCAUGGUAAAUCCUGGUAAAAAUAAGUAAUCUUAUUUUUCAUUCCUUUGUUUGCUAUGGACUGGGAUUAGAGUCUCCUAAGACUGAUGUGCUUUUCUCUGCUUCUCUUUGAAUCUCCUCAGAUUUUGUUUUAUGAGUAUUACUCUAAAGCUCAUUGAUGUUCACACUGCUUUAUCUUCUUUGACAUUUGCACCCUUUCACGCUCAAUAAAAUUUACUUCUUUGCCUUGUUAAAUACUUCUUGGCUUGAAUCCAACUUGGUAUAAUAUUCAGAUUGUGAUUUUUUUCUUGUUGCAUGCAUUUGCCUAAUAUUUUUGUCCAUUCUAUUAUUUUCACCUUUUCUGAGAACCUGUAUUUGGCAUAGACUUAAACUAUAUGUUGUGACCCAAUCUAAAUCCUUUUUUUUAAAGAGGAGAGUUAGCUCUCUCAUAUUUAUAGAUAUGACAAAUAUAGGAUACCCUAAUCCUGUAUUUCUUCAUAUAGUAUCUAUUAAUUUCCUUCUGUGGCCAAUGGAUAGAAUUAGCGUAUUACCUUUUCCUUUUUGUCUUCUGCUCUACUCCUCUUUCCUACU